rnacentral:piRNA from 1 species
UAUUUGAGCCCUUAACUCAAAGUAGUGA